rnacentral:rRNA from 1 species
GUACACGCUGUGACUAGCAUAUCAAUAAGCGGAGGAAAAGAAACUAACAAGGAUUCCCCUAGUAACGGCGAGUGAAGCGGGAAGAGCUCAAAUUUGAAAUCUUAAAGGGUUUCCCUUUACGAAUUGUAGUUUAAAGAAGUGUUUUCUGUUGAGGUUUUGGUAAAAGUUCUUUGGAAUAGGACAUCAUAGAGGGUGAGAAUCCCGUAUUUGACCUUUACUUUCAACUUUGUGAUACACUUUCAAAGAGUCGGAUUGUUUGGGAAUGCAGUCCAAAAUGGGUGGUAAAUUUCAUCUAAAGCUAAAUAUUGGCGAGAGACCGAUAGCGAACAAGUACCGUGAGGGAAAGAUGAAAAGAACUUUGAAAAGAGAGUUAAACAGUACGUGAAAUUGUCAAAAGGGAAGCGUUUGACACCAGUGUUGUUUUUCUGAAAAUCAAUUAAAGAACUGUUUAUGCUAAGUUGUUUAGACUUUAUCAGCUAACUGUUUAGUUUUGAGCUCUUCUUUAAUGCACUUUUCAGUUAACAAGUCAACAUCAAUUUCUUUUGCUGUAAAAAAGCUUGAGGAAGGUGGCUUGAGAUUCGUCUUAAGUGUUUAUAGCCUCUUGCCUAUGCAGUCGGAGAGAUUGAGGUCUGCAGCGUAGGAUCCUUCGGGGCUAAAUGCAUUUGUGCUAAGUUAUAGCAUUUUAUAGACAACUUGUUGACUAUGAUUUGUCUUGUAGCUUACUCGCUUAUGUUAUUUUACCUACGCUUAGGAUGUUGAAGUCAUCGUAUCGCGC